GUGGGGAAUCUUAGACAAUGGGCGAAAGCCUGAUCCAGCCAUGCCGCGUGCAGGAUGAAGGCCUUCGGGUUGUAAACUGCUUUUGUACGGAACGAAAAGACUCCUUCUAAUAAAGGGGGUCCAUGACGGUACCGUAAGAAUAAGCACCGGCUAACUACGUGCCAGCAGCCGCGGUAAUACGUAGGGUGCAAGCGUUAAUCGGAAUUACUGGGCGUAAAGCGUGCGCAGGCGGUUAUAUAAGACAGAUGUGAAAUCCCCGGGCUCAACCUGGGAACUGCAUUUGUGACUGUAGAGCUAGAGUACGGUAGAGGGGGAUGGAAUUCCGCGUGUAGCAGUGAAAUGCGUAGAUAUGCGGAGGAACACCGAUGGCGAAGGCAAUCCCCUGGACCUGUACUGACGCUCAUGCACGAAAGCGUGGGGAGCAAACAGGAUUAGAAACCCGGGUAGUCC
rnacentral:rRNA from 1 species